GCCUGAUUGGCUCAGUUGGCAGAGCAACCGGCUGUUAACCGGUGGGUCGUAGGUUCAAGUCCUACAUCGGGCGCCA
rnacentral:tRNA from 1 species